rnacentral:rRNA from 1 species
UACGUAGGGUGCAAGCGUUAAUCGGAAUUACUGGGCGUAAAGCGUGCGCAGGCGGCUAUGCAAGACAGAUGUGAAAUCCCCGGGCUCAACCUGGGAACUGCAUUUGUGACUGCAUGGCUAGAGUACGGUAGAGGGGGAUGGAAUUCCGCGUGUAGCAGUGAAAUGCGUAGAUAUUGGGAGGAACACCGGUGGCGAAGGCGGCCCCCUGGACCGGUACUGACGCUGAGGCGCGAAAGCGUGGGUAGCAAACGGG